ensembl:lncRNA
UUUAUAUUUAGAAUAACAAGAAAGUAAAAUCAGUAAGAGCCAGAAACGAAAAAAGGUCCGUUUUUUUCAUUUUCUGAGACCGGAAGUGGUCAUCAGCAAGCAGCCAAACAGAGUACGGUGUAUAGACUGUACAUACAUUUUUUUUCGUGAGUUUUCAUGGUCAAAAUGAGAGAUCAGGUGGUCGAUCUUAAAAUAAAUCAAUAUUGAUUUUUUUAUAGAGCGUUAAAGUUUUGUGAAGCCAGGGGGCGGGACUACUUGAUUGAAAGUCCGGUCCGGAAUGAUUGACAGGUCCUAUGGAGGAGGCAGCAGAGUCUCUGCUCUCCUCGUUUGGAUUAAUUCUGAUAUAAUAACUGUUGGUUUAUUUAUCGGUGGAGCAGCAGAACAUUUUCCACAGACAGUUUUCCUGCCCGUUGGCUUGUUUUAACCAGUUUUCUACCUUCGGCUGAUUCUACCAGCAGACACUGAAAGGACUCUGAUAGAGUGAAAGUAGCAAUUCCUCCUUAAGGUCAGAGAUUGCAGCAUCUGAGGGCCUCUUCAAAAGAAGACAUAGUUGAUGAAGGCGUUCUGGAGCAGGACCAGAAAGACCACGACCAAGCAGCCUUGAGAUCUUAGGAGGCGUCUCCCUCAGGUCCCUCUCUAUCUCCCCAUACAUCCACCAACCACUAGAACACAUCUCCAAAGUUCUGCCGGGCCAGCUCAGCUUCCCCUCAGAAGAAGUUCCACCAGAUGAAGGAGCCUUUUGAGAGGCAGCUGGCAUCGUGAUUGGACUGUACUUUGGUCUGUUCCAAUCCAGCUUCAGCUCCAGAGACGGCAGGCGGGACGAGUCAACGGAGGCCGGGUGGACGAAGGCAUGCAGCUGAGUACAAUCCAGAAAACAACAGAGGAGGAGUGCAGGGCCAGAACAAACAGAGUAGCAUUGUAUGUCUCUUAGAAAACAUCAUAGUAUAGCCUUUGGUAUGAAAAAACGCCAUCAUAUACAUCGUAUGUUGUACAAAUAACAAGUCAAAGGAAAGAGACAUACAUUGUAGAAUUGUAGUAAUUGUGGGCUGACUGAUUUACUGAUUAUCAGUAUU